rnacentral:rRNA from 1 species
CCUACGGGAGGCAGCAGUGAGGAAUAUUGGUCAAUGGACGAGAGUCUGAACCAGCCAAGUAGCGUGAAGGAUGACUGCCCUAUGGGUUGUAAACUUCUUUUAUAUGGGAAUAAAAUGUUCCACGUGUGGGAUUUUGUAUGUACCAUAUGAAUAAGGAUCGGCUAACUCCGUGCCAGCAGCCGCGGUAAUACGGAGGAUCCGAGCGUUAUCCGGAUUUAUUGGGGGUAAAGGGAGCGUAGGUGGAUUGUUAAGUCAGUUGUGAAAGUUUGCGGCUCAACCGUAAAAUUGCAGUUGAAACUGGCAGUCUUGAGUACAGUAGAGGUGGGCGGAAUUCGUGGUGUAGCGGUGAAAUGCUUAGAUAUCACGAAGAACUCCGAUUGCGAAGGCAGUUCACUGGACUGCAACUGACACUGAGGCUCGAAAGUGUGGGUAUCAAACAGGAUUAGAUACCCGUGUAGUC